AUUGAACGCUGGCGGCAUGCCUUACACAUGCAAGUCGAACGGUAGAGUAGCAAUACUCGAGAGUGGCGAACGGGUGAGUAAUAUAUCGGAACGUGCCCAGUCGUGGGGGAUAACGUAGAGAAAUUUACGCUAAUACCGCAUACGAUCUACGGAUGAAAGCGGGGGACUCGCAAGAGCCUCGCGCGAUUGGAGCGGCUGAUAUCAGAUUAGGUUGUUGGUGAGGUAAAAGCUCACCAAGCCGACGAUCUGUAGCUGGUUUGAGAGAACGACCAGCCACACUGGGACUGAGACACGGCCCAGACUCCUACGGGAGGCAGCAGUGGGGAAUUUUGGACAAUGGGCGAAAGCCUGAUCCAGCAAUGCCGCGUGUGGGAAGAAGGCCUUCGGGUUGUAAACCACUUUUGUACGGAACGAAACGCCUCGCUUUAAUACAGUGGGGUAAUGACGGUACCGUAAGAAUAAGCACCGGCUAACUACGUGCCAGCAGCCGCGGUAAUACGUAGGGUGCGAGCGUUAAUCGGAAUUACUGGGCGUAAAGCGUGCGCAGGCGGUUAUAUAAGACAGUUGUGAAAUCCCCGGGCUCAACCUGGGAAUUGCAUCUGUGACUGUAUAGCUAGAGUACGGUAGAGGGGGAUGGAAUUCCGCGUGUAGCAGUGAAAUGC
rnacentral:rRNA from 1 species